rnacentral:rRNA from 1 species
AUUGAACGCUGGCGGAAUGCUUUACACAUGCAAGUCGAACGGCAGCACGGGGGCAACCCUGGUGGCGAGUGGCGAACGGGUGAGUAAUACAUCGGAACGUGCCCAGUCGUGGGGGAUAACGUAGCGAAAGUUACGCUAAUACCGCAUACGAUCUACGGAUGAAAGCGGGGGACCGUAAGGCCUCGCGCGAUUGGAGCGGCCGAUGUCAGAUUAGGUAGUUGGUGAGGUAAAGGCUCACCAAGCCGACGAUCUGUAGCUGGUCUGAGAGGACGACCAGCCACACUGGGACUGAGACACGGCCCAGAAUCCUACGGGAGGAAGCAGUGGGGAAUUUUGGACAAUGGGCGCAAGCCUGAUCCAGCCAUUCCGCGUGCAGGACGAAGGCCUUCGGGUUGUAAACUGCUUUUGUACGGAAUGAAAAGGCUCUGGUUAAUACCUGGGGCUCAUGACGGUACCGUAAGAAUAAGCACCGGCUAACUACGUGCCAGCCGCCGCAGUAA